rnacentral:rRNA from 1 species
UACGAAGGGGGCUAGCGUUGAUCGGAAUUACUGGGCGUAAAGGGCGCGUAGGCGGACAUUUAAGUCAGAGGUGAAAGCCCAGGGCUCAACCUUGGAAUUGCCUUUGAUACUGGAUGUCUUGAGUUCGGGAGAGGUGAGUGGAAUGCCGAGUGUAGAGGUGAAAUUCGUAGAUAUUCGGCGGAACACCAGUGGCGAAGGCGACUCACUGGCCCGAUACUGACGCUGAGGCGCGAAAGCGUGGGGAGCAAACAGG